GCGAGGUCGGGGAGGAAAGUCCGGACAACAUAGAGCGCCGUGCUCCUUGAAAGGGGAGGAUGCUUAGUGCAGACAGAGAGUGCCACAGAAAAUAAACUACCUCGACCAUGUUUUGCAUGGGUUGGGGCAAAGGUGAAAAGGUGCGGUAAGAGCGCACCGCAUUGUUGGUGACAACAAUGGCAGGGUAAACCUCGCGGGUUGCAAUACCAUGUAUACCGAGGCCUGAGCGUUGCUCGCGCAAUCUCGGAGGGUAGGUAGCAUUAGAUAAAUGAUAAGGGCCGUAAAUGAGCUUUGCUUUUAUUGCGGUACAGAAUCUGGCUUAUAGGUCUGUUUC
rnacentral:RNase_P_RNA from 1 species